UUUUUAUUUCUUCCGUUCAGUAAAAGAUGUCUUAAAUUUGUCAAAUUUGAAUGUAUCUAGACAUGAUUUAGUGUAUAGAUGCAUUCAAAUUUGGUCAAAGUUGAGACAUUCUAUGUUGGAUGGAGUGAGUACUUC
rnacentral:pre_miRNA from 1 species